rnacentral:rRNA from 1 species
CUACCUACGGGAGGCAGCAGUGAGGAAUAUUGGUCAAUGGGCGAGAGCCUGAACCAGCCAAGUCGCGUGAAGGAUGACGGCCCUACGGGUUGUAAACUUCUUUUGUCAGGGAGCAAUUGGGUCCACGUGUGGGCUUAGCGAGAGUACCUGAAGAAAAAGCAUCGGCUAACUCCGUGCCAGCAGCCGCGGUAAUACGGAGGAUGCGAGCGUUAUCCGGAGUUAUUGGGUUUAAAGGGUGCGUAGGCGGAAUAUCAAGUCAGCGGUAAAAAUUCGGGGCUAACCCCCGUCGUGACGGUGAAACUGAU